UACGUAGGGGGCAAGCGUUGUCCGGAUUUAUUGGGCGUAAAGAGCGUGUAGGCGGCCAGAUAAGUCCGCUGUGAAAUCUCGAGGCUCAACUUCGAGCUGUCGGUGGAAACUGUCUGGCUAGAGUCCGGAAGAGGAGAAUGGAAUUCCUGGUGUAGCGGUGAAAUGCGCAGAUAUCAGGAAGAACACCCGUGGCGAAGGCGGUUCUCUGGGCCUUACCUGACGCUGAGGAGCGAAAGCGUGGGGAGCGAACAGG
rnacentral:rRNA from 1 species